GAUGAACGCUGGCGGCGUGCCUAAUACAUGCAAGUCGAGCGAACGGACGAGAAGCUUGCUUUUCUGAUGUUAGCGGCUGACGUGUGAGUAACACGUGUAUAACCUACCUAUAAUACUGGGAUAACUUCGGGAAACCGGAUCUAAUACCGUAUAAUAUUUUGAACCGCAUUGUUCAAAAGUGAUAUACGUUCUUUCUGUCUCUUAUAGAUUGAUCCGCGCUGCAUUAGCUAGUUGGUAAGGUAACGGCUUACCAAGGCAACGAUGCAUAGCCGACCUGAGAGGGUGAUAGGACACACGGGAACUGAGACACGGUCAAGACUCCUACGGGAGGCAGCAGUAGGGAAUAUUCCGCAAUGGGCGAAAGCAUGACGGAGCAACGCCGCGUGAGUGAUGAAGGACUGCGGAUCGUAAAACUCUGUUAUUAGGGAAGAACAUAUGUGUAAGUAACUGUGAACAUAUUGACGGUACCUAAUCAGAAAGCAACGGCUAACUACGUG
rnacentral:rRNA from 1 species